AAUCUUGCGCAAUGGGCGAAAGCCUGACGCAGCCAUGCCGCGUGGAUGAUGAAGGGCUUAGGAUUGUAAAAUUCUUUCACCGGGGACGAUAAUGACGGUACCGGGAGAAGAAGCCCCGGCUAACUUAGUGCCAGCAACCGCGGUAAUACGAAGGGGGCUAGCGUUGCUCGGAAUUACUGGGCGUAGAGGGCGCGUAGGCGGAUCGUUAGGUCAGGGGUGAAAUCCCGGGGCUCAACCUCGGAACUGCCCUUGAUACUGGCGAUCUUGAGUAUGAGAGAGGUAUGUGGAACUCCGAGUGUAGAGGUGAAAUUCGUAGAUAUUCGGAAGAACACCAGUGGCGAAGGCGACAUACUGGCUCAUUACUGACGCUGAGGCGCGAAAGCGUGGGGAGCAAACA
rnacentral:rRNA from 1 species